rnacentral:rRNA from 1 species
AGAUGAGGUGCUUGCACCUUAUCUUAGCGGCGGACGGGUGAGUAAUGCUUAGGAAUCUGCCAUUUAGUGGGGGACAACAUCUCGAAAGGGAUGCUAAUACCGCAUACGUCCUACGGGAGAAAGCAGGGGAUCUUCGGACCUUGCGCUAAAUGAUGAGCCUAAGUCGGAUUAGCUAGUUGGUGGGGUAAAGGCCUACCAAGGCGACGAUCUGUAGCGGGUCUGAGAGGAUGAUCCGCCACACUGGGACUGAGACACGGCCCAGACUCCUACGGGAGGCAGCAGUGGGGAAUAUUAGACAAUGGGCGAAAGCCUGAUCCAGCAAUGCCGCGUGAGUGAUGAAGGCCUUCGGGUCGUAAAGCUCUUUUACCAGGGAUGAUAAUGACAGUACCUGGAGAAUAAGCUCCGGCUAACUCCGUGCCAGCAGCCGCGGUAAUACGGAGGGAGCUAGCGUUGUUCGGAAUUACUGGGCGUAAAGAGUACGUAGGCGGUUAUUCAAGUCAGAGGUGAAAGCCCGGGGCUCAACCCCGGAACUGCCUUUGAAACUAGAUAGCUAGAGUCUUGGAGAGGUUAGUGGAAUUCCGGGUGUAGCGGUGAAAUGCGUAGAUAUCCGGAGGAACAUCAGUGGCGAAGGCGACUUGCUGGUCUAAUACUGACGCUGAGGAGCGAAAGCGUGGGGAGCAAACGGGAUUAGAUACCCCGGUAGUCCACGCCGUAAACGAUGUCAACUAGCCGUUGGGGGUCUUAGUACCUUUAGUGGCGCAGCUAACGCAUUAAGUUGACCGCCUGGGGAGUACGGUCGCA